AGACAGGGUCUUGCUCUGUUGCCCAAGAUGGGAUGCAGUGAUACAAUCAUAGCUCACUGCAGCCUCCAACUCCUGAACUCAAGCAAUCCUCCAAGCAGCUAAGAUUACAGCCCACGUUUCCAUCCCUCCAGUCAGCUCGCGCCCUCCUCCAGGUUUUCCCGCACAGACCUUGGAGGGCAGCGUGGAAACUGAGUAACUGCAAGCAAGCUGAGGUGAGCUGCACGUUCCGCAUGGACGCCCUCAAGCGUGAUUCCCAAUUCCAAGACCCCGCGUCCCCACCGCCCGCUGACGAGGAUGAUACCUGUGAGCACCGCUCCUCUCCAGGGGCCCGUUCAGUCACUCCGUCCAGUUCUGAGAGGAGCCGCGGAAUCGCUGUCUUGGACAGUGAAGGGAGCCGGCGUUGGUAAUCACGCUGCAACUAGGAACCCCUGACCUCGCCGAACCCUCAACUCACUGCCGGCUCCGAGUUUCAUAAAUUGCCACGGAACAACCUAGACUCACUCUUGCGCACGCGCACCAGCUGUGGAAGGAACCCCCAGGAGCCCCCGCGACCCGGAUCUGUAAGUGGCAAUGGAUGCAGCAAUAUUCAGUUUCCAGAAUCAGCAGCUCCGGCAGCAGUGUCCUGUCCUGAUGGUGUUGGCAGGUAAAUCAUGCUUCUGGUGCUGAAUAGAAGUCUUGUCCUCAUAGAACCAAUUCUGUGGUACAAUUUUGGUCUGUGGUUCUGGCUACAUGACUCGAAUAUUAUUUCAAUAUUUUUACUUUUAGCUUAAAUCAUGCUUAGUUUCUGUUACUUGAAACUAAAAGCCCUGACUGAUACAUCAUCAUUAUGAUGAUUUCUAGGUGUAUGUAUUAAAUAUGUUUUCAUUAGAAUUUUUUUGUCUUUAUUUUCCCCUUCCCUCCCUAGCAUGUAGUGGUUUCAUGCAGACAGCUUUGUGAAGAAGCCUCAUUGGCAUCUAUUUUGGUGGAAUGAGUGGGAACAUAAUUCUCAGGGUGUCAGUAAUCCAUCGCUGCAUACAGACCAUUUCAAAAUUUAGUGCUUUAAAAUAGCAAUCGUUUUAUUUUGCUCAGGAGUGUGUUUGAAAUUUGGUCAGAGGGGAUGGCAGUUAUCAUUAAUGCCAAUAUUUAAGAUAUGACCAUGGGAAUGAGUAGCUGAAAUCAUUGGAGAAGCGAGGAUUAAGGAAUCUCAGAAUGCAAACUAUUUGAAUAUUUCGUUCUAUGGGAAAAUUAAAAUAACCAACAACUAUAACACAAGAGCAGUAUCUUCAGGAGAGUGGCAGUGAGUCAGGGGCUAGAAUCUGCAAGGAAUGGGUGGGGGAGUAGCCUAAGCAUCUAAAAUAAAAUAAAAUGAAUAAAACCCCCACAAUCCCACUUUCCUAACCAUACCUCAUUUCCUCCUCCCUCAUGGUAAAACAUCUCCAAAUGUCUGUUUACAUUUUCUUAUUUUUCCUCUAUUCACUGAAAUAGAUCUCAUCUAGAUCAUAACCAGCAGCCAAAGUUACCAAAUUCAACUAAAAAUUUCCUAUCCUUCUCUAUUAUCACCUCAACUAACACAUAUCAUUUGAAUGAAGGUUUUCAGUGAUUAUCAUACCCUAGAUUAAAGUUUGCCUAUUGUGAUACAGUUCCAGUAAAUUUUUAAAAGAUAGUAAAAAAAUGUGUAUUAAUAUACGUUAUGUCUCAGUCAUUACUCUGAGUAUAUCAAAUACACUCAGAGUUGGAUAAGAUAAAAUGAAAUAAGAGAUCAAUAGCUGGUUUUAAAAUGGACACAUGUAUACAUGAAUU